CAAUAGCGUAUAUUAAAGUUGUUGCGGUUAAAAAGCUCGUAGUUGGAUUUCUGUUGAGGGACGUCGGUCCGCACUAUGUGCGUGUAUCUGACUGUGCCUCGGCAUCCUCUCGAAUAUCGGUCUGCGCUUCAUUGCGUGGAUCGGACUUCGGGACUUUUACUUUGAGGAAAUUAGAGUGUUCACGGCAGGCAAGCGCCCUGAAUAUAUUAGCAUGGAAUAAUGAUAUAGGAUCUUGGUCCUAUUUUGUUGGUUUCUAGGGCUAAGAUAAUGAUUAAUAGGGACAAUUGGGGGCAUUCGUAUUAACGCGUCAGAGGUGGAAUUCUUGGAUUGCGUUGCGACAAACUACUGCGAAAGCAUUUGCCAAGGAUGUUUUCAUUGA
rnacentral:rRNA from 1 species